rnacentral:rRNA from 1 species
GAUGAACGCUGGCGGUGUGCCUAAUACAUGCAAGUCGAGCGAACAGGCGAGGAGCUUCCUCCUCUGACGUUAGCGGCGGACGGGUGAGUAACACGUGGAUAACCUACCUAUAAGACUGGGAUAACUUCGGGAAACCGGAGCUAAUACCGGAUAACAUGUUGAACCGCAUGGUUCAACAGUGAAAGACGGUCUUGCUGUCACUUAUAGAUGGAUCCGCGUCGCAUUAGCUAGUUGGUAAGGUAACGGCUUACCAAGGCAACGAUGCGUAGCCGACCUGAGAGGGUGAUCGGCCACACUGGAACUGAGACACGGUCCAGACUCCUACGGGAGGCAGCAGUAGGGAAUCUUCCGCAAUGGGCGAAAGCCUGACGGAGCAACGCCGCGUGAGUGAAGAAGGUCUUCGGAUCGUAAAACUCUGUUAUUAGGGAAGAACAAAUGUGUAAGUAACUAUGCACGUCUUGACGGUACCUAAUCAGAAAGCCACGGCUAACUACGUG